rnacentral:rRNA from 1 species
UACGUAGGGUGCGAGCGUUAAUCGGAAUUACUGGGCGUAAAGCGUGCGCAGGCGGGUUUGUAAGUCAGAUGUGAAAUCCCCGGGCUUAACCUGGGAACUGCGUUUGAAACUACAAGGCUAGAGUGUGGCAGAGGGGGGUGGAAUUCCACGUGUAGCAGUGAAAUGCGUAGAGAUGUGGAGGAACACCGAUGGCGAAGGCAGCCCCCUGGGUUAACACUGACGCUCAGGCACGAAAGCGUGGGGAGCAAACAGG